AUGUCUAACAUUCUUUUUCCUAAGAAAUUCUUGUCAAAGCUUAAUGCUAUCAUUAGAAAUUUUUGGUGGACAGGGAUAAAAGAAGAAACCAGUGCUAAAUCUCUUUGCCUUAGAGCCUGGAAGGACAUAUGUUCCCCUAAGAAUGAAGGUGGAUUAGGUAUCAACAACAUGCAAGCCACUAACAGAGCUAUGAUUCUAUCUGCUGCUUGGAGAAUAGUGGAACAACCCAACAGUCACAUUUCCAAAGUCCUUCAAUCUAAAUAUUUUCCUGAUACUUCCUUUUGGAGAGCCAACCAUAAUGUUCCUAAAUCUGCUUUUUGGACAGCUAUUCUCAAAGUUAGACCUAUGCUCAUCAACAACUCUUUUUAUCAACUUACCGAAGGGAACAUAUCUAUUUGGAGCUCUCCCUGGUAUAAAGGCUGGAGCACAAUCUACGAUCAUCUGAUUAUCCAAGAUAGUCAUUUUGUUUACCCUGCAAUAGUCAGAGACCUUUGGCUGCCAAAUCAGAAACUUUGGAAUACUAAUCUUAUUUGCAACCUUUUUUAUCAUGAUACUGCCGCAGAAAUAAUCCGAACGCCCAUUAUCCAAUCCGGCGGAGAAGAUCUUUUGUGUUGGAAACUAACUCAAACAGGACAAUUCAACUCCAAAAGUGCUUAUAAAUUAUGCCUACAGGUGAUGCAACAGGAAGGAGAGCCGCAGCCAAGGGUCAUUCCGGACAAUACAAAAGCCCUUUUAAAGCAGAUAUGGAAGGCCAAAGACAUUGCACCGAGGGUUCAAACAUUUGCAUGGAGGCUAAUUAGAAAAGCGCUUCCAACAGGUAAAAGAGCAGGUAAAUAUUCGAAGCAUAUAGAUAAAGAAUGCUCAAGAUGCAGUGCUGAAGAAGAUGAACGACAUAUCUUUUUUACUUGUCCUUAUGCUAGAGCAGCUUGGUUUGCAAAACCAUGGUACAUUAGAAUGGACAACUUUAUUAGUAAUUCCACUUCAAUCAUCACCAUUAUUUUAAAUCUGCUCAGUUCAGACCAUCCUCAUGCAAGUUUAAACAAUAUUUUCACAUUCAUGUGGUGUCUAUGGAAAGUUAGAAAUGAGAAGCUUUUCCAAAGGAAAGAAGGCUCCCCUGUACAGGUCUCCUUUGCAGCACAAGCAAUUACAAACUCUUUUAAAUUAGAAACAAGUCAUAAUAAUCUAUGCAAGAAUAAGAUACCUAUGCAGGACAAAAGGGAGGAACUAAGGCAGGGAAACACAAUUGAUGCAUCCAAGGUUUCUACACAAAACACAUUCUUCACAGAUGCAACAUGGAAUCUACAGGAGAGCCAAAACGGAAAUGAAGGAGCACAAGCAGGAAUAGGUGUCUACAUUCAACUAAAGCAAGGUUACUUAAACCUUCAAGCAUCAAUUUCAGCCACAUGGAUGAUAGCUAAUUCAGCUGUUCAAGCGGAAGCACAGGGUCUAAAGUUGGCAGCAAAUUUUUUGGAAUCUCUGCACAUUCAGGAAGCUGCGGUGCUAACAGACAACCUCACUGUGGUAAAAGCUGCAGCAGCAAGAUCGCCAAGGAAGGAACCAGGGAAUUGGCAGAUAAGAAACUAUAUAGCAGACUUUUGUGCAAUGACAGAGUUCAAGAAUAUUCAGGUCUACCAUGUUAACACAGAUCAAAACAGCAUAGCGCAUGAAGCUGCAAGGUUAGCAAUCACACAGGAUCAUGUAGCUUCUCCUAUCCAUAGGUUUAGUUGCACUAAUCCUGUUCAUACUAGAGGGCAUUGUCCCCUGCAUCAGAGAUUAAUGCACACUCAAAUGCAGGGAUUUGUACUUCUACGUGUAAAUUGUUUCUCAGAUUAA
rnacentral:rRNA from 1 species